UCCAAAUUAUGGAAAGAUUCGUUAUCCGGAAAGCCUCAUGUCCCGCACAUUCUGGAUAACAGGUCCCAUGCCUGUACUCUUUGUUCUGACACAGUGCAGUUAUAGGUAUUGUCUACAUUUUCUAGCUGCCCUCACUCCAUGGACAAUCUCCGUAUAUGAUCAGGUUAUGAAAGAAUACAACAAGGAAGCGAGCAGAAAGAUGCUGCUAGAGACACCUACUAUACGGAGCAGAUCUGUAAGCAGGGACAGGCAGAUGUCAUCCUUGUCAUUGCUUACUGACAAUGGGGUGGUUCAUCAUUGUAUUCACUUUUUUGUCACUUGCAAAAACAAAUUGUGUGAUCUUCAUACUACUUUUGAAUACACUGCAUCUUUGAAUUAAAGCAAUUUGAGGGAUGCUGUGUUCUUUUAAAUUAAAACAUUACUGAUGUGUGGGCCGGCCCGAUACCCACAGGACCUCGCUCCCCCAUUUGCGGGUUGCGGGCCUGCUCUCCCCGCCCGCGACCUUACACUGCCGACUUCCGGUUUUAUCGCCACAGGUCUAUAAAAGGAAGGCGGGAGUGGAUCAGGGGCGCGUGGGUUAGGAUCGGUGUGGGUCGAGUUUUUCUCAACCCUGACAUCACUAAAUCACAUGGUUGUAUUGAUGCACCGAAUCCUGGAUUUUGUUUGUGAUUCAGGCAACUUCAAGCAUUUUUCAGCAGGAUCUGGGGUUGGCCAAUCCAAGCACCAGACUGAACCAACGGAACCCUUAAAAUCACAUGAUAAACGGUAUUUUUUUGCCAUGUGCAGACUUUCUAUACCCCUUCUGUUUCCUAAUUUGCCCCCCUAACUGUUAGAGAAGGAGGAGGCUCUGAUUAGACAGUAAGGAAAUCUGUGCAAUGGUUUAAAAAUUAAAUCUUAUGCCUGCGGUAGUGAAAAGAGUUAGGCACCCCUUGGUGUCAGGUUAGAUGAAAUGCAUCUUCUAAAAAUAAAUAUGCAUUUAUUACAAAACUUGGCACGGACGUUUAGUUUUCAGUGGCACUUUGUGUUCAAGAGGCUUGCGACCCUGGCAAUCGCCAUCUCAUCCCUGCCCUAAAUCCAGCUCUAUAUAUUUGUUUAUUAGAUACAGUAUUUCAUUUAGGGACCUAUGUUACAUUUGUGAACUAUCGCCCUUGGUAGUUGCCAGUCCUUUAUCUAGUCAAAGUUUUUCUCCUUUAUUAUCACUGUAAGAUAUCAGUAUGGGACAUUUUUGUAAUGCAAUGCACAUUGUACAUUUUUUAUUUGUCACAAAGCCAUUGUUGGAGUAGAGGAAUAAAGUUCAAGUCUGACUUUAAUAAUCAUCAUAGUUGACUCCAGCUCCAUGCCUGUAGGUAUAUGGGUUGCGUGGCCCAAUAGGAGCAUCUUCAUCAUAGUGAUGCUGGUGGAAUCCCCCAUAGUAUUCACUGCCUCCACGUCCCUGACUCAUCCAGUAAACCAAAUCAUCUUCAUAUUUCUGUUAAGUGAAAAUACCAUGUUUACAAGCAUUGCUAGAAAAGUAAAUUAAAUGUUUCUAUUUUAAUGCAAGUAGUAGAGUGUUGUACUUGUUAGCCAGAGUUUUUUAAAAAAAAAUGUGGGAACUUAUUGUUUAUUGGCUAACGUAUAUGUGAGAAUGCAAGCUUUUGAGGAGAAAUUAAAUUUCUUCAUCAGACAUUUUUAUCACAAGAGACAUAAGUUUAACUAAAAAAAAAUGUAAUUCUUGUAUAUAUAUAUAUCAGGUUGCCAAUAAAUGACAUUGCAUUUCUUGUUUUGAUGUAA